CCUACGGGUGGCAGCAGUGGGGAAUAUUGGACAAUGGGCGAAAGCCUGAUCCAGCCAUGCCGCGUGUGUGAAGAAGGCCUUCGGGUUGUAAAGCACUUUCAGUGGGGAAGAAAGCCUUGGGGCUAAUACCCUCGAGGAAGGACAUCACCCACAGAAGAAGCACCGGCUAACUCCGUGCCAGCAGCCGCGGUAAUACGGAGGGUGCGAGCGUUAAUCGGAAUUACUGGGCGUAAAGCGCGCGUAGGCGGUCUGAUAAGCCGGUUGUGAAAGCCCCGGGCUCAACCUGGGAACGGCAUCCGGAACUGUCAAGCUAGAGUGCAGGAGAGGAAGGUAGAAUUCCCGGUGUAGCAGUGAAAUGCGUAGAGAUCGGGAGGAAUACCAGUGGCGAAGGCGGCCUUCUGGACUGACACUGACGCUGAGGUGCGAAAGCGUGGGUAGCAAACAGGAUUAGAUACCCUAGUAGUC
rnacentral:rRNA from 1 species